UACGUAGGGGGCAAGCGUUGUCCGGAUUUAUUGGGCGUAAAGCGCGUGUAGGCGGCAUGGCAAGUCGGGUGUGAAAGCCCUCAGCUUAACUGAGGAAGUGCGCCCGAAACUGCCGUGCUUGAGUGCCGGAGAGGGUGGCGGAAUUCCCCAAGUAGAGGUGAAAUCGUAGAUAUGGGGAGGAACACCGGUGGCGAAGGCGGCGAGCUGGUCCGAUUACUGACGCUGAGGCGCGACACGGUGGGGAGCAAACAGG
rnacentral:rRNA from 1 species